rnacentral:lncRNA from 1 species
GUACGAAACCUUAUUCUCCACACAAAAUUUGAAUAUGUUUCAACCUUUCCUCUUGCAACACCCUCGUUGGCGAUUUCCAAUUGAACAAAAUCACCUAUUGAAAAUCAAUUUCUCCUUUAGCUAGUCUGUGCUUCUUUUAACCUAGUUGAAUUCUGUUUUUCUUUCUUCCACUAGUGGAUUGGUGGUUUAACAUUUGAGUGAAUUUCUUUUCGACGAGCACUAAUCCAGAGAAAAUUCGACAAUGGUUGCUUCAUUUUCUUCCUUCAGAAGCUAUUAAAUUAAGAGAUUAUCACACAACAUAAGGCGAGAUGCAUAGACUGAAAUCUUACUUAGAUUUUAAUUGGGGCAUCCUUAAAUUAGAGGU